CAGUAGCCGCGGGAAUACAGAGGAUGCAAGCGUUAUCCGGAAUGAUUGGGCGUAAAGCAUCUGUAGGUUGCUUUUCAAGUCUGUUGUCAAAUCCCCGGGCUCAACCCUAGACAGCAGUGGAAACUACCAAGCUGGAGUACGGUAGGGGCAGAGGGAAUUUCUGGUGGAGCGGUGAAAUGCAUUGAGAUCGGAAAGAACACCAACAGCGAAAGCACUCUGCUGGGCCGACAUUGACACUGAGAGGCGAAAGUUAGGGGAGAAAAUUGGUUUAGAUACCCCCGUAGUCCCUGUCUCUUAUACA
rnacentral:rRNA from 1 species